GACUUUGGGGAAUUUCAAUGUUUUGCUUUUCAUCUUCCUGAGAGUCCAGAAGCCUCCCCGUCAGAAGUGUGUUAACAGCAGUUCAGCCCAUUUCAGGGUGAAGGACAGUUUGUCAUCUAACUGUUUUAACCCUCUUAGGGAGAAAGUACAUAGACUGAAAAGAAUUUGACUGAACGAAGACUCGAUCACACGCUGUGUACCCGCCCUGUGUAGGUGAACUCAGUGCAAAUAUCUAAUUGGAAUCCUGAAUGACACCAAAACCCUUUGCUGGAGCUGGGAGCAGAGAGGGAAUUAUGAGGGGGAGGCAACAGGAAGCGUCACCUGGUCAGGAAGGACUCCCUGAGCCUCAGCUAACAGGAAGCGUCACCUGGUCAGGAAAGAUUCCCUGAGCCUCAGGUCAGUUUAUGAUGUGUCUGGCCGCAGAUCUCUGAUUUAGUCCUACCUGGAGUUCAUUGAACUUCUUGGAUAUGUAGAUUAAUGUUUUUCAUCAAAUUUGGGCUUGAAUUUCUCAUUCAUUUGGUAGCUUAGAGUCCCAGGAUUAAGAUAUGGUGAUGCAUGGAGGGAGAACCCCACUCUGGGAAGAGAAGAGCAACAGCAUCUCCUGUCUCCCUCAGUCCAGGCUUUGUGCCAGAUUAUCUCACGGAUCCUCACAAGUACACAGCCUAGGUUGGUAUUCUUAAUACUGUUCCCAAAUAGGGACGCUAUUGCUUAAAAAGUUGUAUAAACUUGGAAAAGUUCAGUAAAUGGUGGAUAUAAGAUAAGAACCAGGAAUUUUUUACUUCAUAGUCUUCAAAAACAUCACACACAUUUCAACAUUAAUCUGCAAAAACCAAUGAAGAAGGUAAAGAAGAGUCUAUACUUGUUGAGGCCCCGUUAUGCCACAUAUUAGUCAAUAUUUCACAUGUUAUGUCAGUCCAUCUUAUCAACAACAUUGUGAGGAAUCAGAAAUAUAAAGAAGUUAAGUAAUUUGAUAAAAAUCACACUUCUAGCAAAUGCCUGGCACAUAAAAGAUGAUUAAUAUCUAUUUAUUAAGGAGAUAAAUGAAAGUAGGAGAGGCUGAUUUUAGUUCAAUGGACUGCCCUCCUGUACCUCCCUAGAUUUCCUUAGACAACUUUUUUACCUUUUUUUGGCCUACUCAAGAACCAGAUCCUAAAAUAAUUAGAUCCUUGCUUUUGUAUGGAAAGGAGAUUAGGCAAAAAAAAAUGGAUAUUGCAGAGCCAAGAGCAAUAAGCAGGAUAAGAGCUUGAAAAACCCUAUGAGGCAAAGAUAGGGUCUGUGGCAGGCAAAGUCCAUGCUUUCCACCUACAUCUACAGACUCCAAAAAAUUCACCGUUUUCUUAGUCCUAAAUUUGACUGGUGAUUUUCAAAAAUAUUUUUUACUUUCAUGAUCUCAAAAGAUUAAAGAUUCCAGAGAAGGUGGGGAGAGAACUUCAAAAGUUUGCCUCACAACUCUUUUGGAUCAAAGGGAUUUUAUUUUCCUGGCACUGAAGAACUAAAAGAUACAUAAAACGGCACAAUAUUUUAUAGGGUUCCUUAUGGAUGGGCUAUUCUUUAAAUGCUGAGGAAGGAAACAAAUAAUGCACCAGACUAUUUAAUUAAACUGUGUCUAAAAUCUGCGCUCCGCUGUAUUAGAGGCACCUCCUCAGACUUGUAAACCAGUGGGCCAAAGUCAAUUAAGAAGGACAUGUCUACAAAUGUUUCAACGAUUACCAGUUACUUGCCUCUGACGCCCUCCCCUAAUCUCCAGGACAUAAAUGGUGAACGAAAAAUCAGUCACUUGAUUUACCUCCAAGAUCAAUCUGAAGGACAAGUUUAGCACUUAAAACAACUGGUUUUGAAGAAGUGGUGACUUUCAGUUAGUAACAAUAUAGGAUACCAUGGUGAAGAAGGGAGAGAAACCAACCCAGGAUCAGAGUCAAAGCUCUUCAAAGCUAGUCCUUAUCUACCUCCCUGGCCUAUUCCCUACCACCUGGGGUAUACACUUUCUCUAUCUUCUGUGGUUCCCAAGCCAGGGACAACAGUCACAAAACACUGCCUGCCUUCGCACACAAAGUUCCCUCUGGAAUUUGAGGAUGUGACUUUCUUCCAACGAUCUAUUCUAGUUUGUGCUCCCUUCCUCCUUUCCAUGAGCCCUCUGCUCCCCAAACUAUAAAAAUGCCUUGUCCCUCCCAGCCUGGGUCUUUGUAGAUGAGGCUAUCCAUUCCUUUCAGCCUCUUUACUCUGGCCUCAUCCCAGAAUAAGAACCUAAGACACUUUCUCCCUAGAAGUCUUACCAAAUAAGUCCUACUCACUUGCCUUAAAUCUUUAACCUCUGAGGACACAGGGCAUUUUCUGUUUCAUCCAUACAGUUUCCUCCAACCAUUUUAAUUCAAGUUGCAUGCUUCCUUACUAUAGGUUUUAGGUACAGAUUUAACACCCUGUCAGUUCUUCUAUUGCCUCUUUCCAGGGUCUUAUUUUAACUUUCUGUGAUUUAAAAACUCUCUUUGUCAUUCUGAGCCCAUGUUUCUUUGUAUAAGAAUUAAUUAUGAGAAAUGACUGAUAAAAUCACUCAUUUUUGAAUGAUACAAUGGUAAUUUAUAAUCAUGGUUGAAAUGCUUGAGGUCACAUUCUACUCCAGGCUGAAAUGAUCUGGUUCUUCUUAGCAUAUUUGAUUGUGUAAUUAAUUUUAUUUAUUAGGCUUAUGUUGGUAAGUUAUAUUUAAAAGUAAACGAUUAAAACUUACGAUAAAGUCCAGAACUAACAGCUAUACCAAGAAACCAUUCUGUGUUAUACCUGCAAUCGAUGCUAUGGAAGUUAAGGAAUGUAACCCUUUGACAAAACUAGAAAUGCAUCCAUCUGUACCAGCUGGAGUUUUAGAGGAAUCCAAUAAACAAUACUUGUUGUGGACUGAAUUGUGUCCUCCCAAAAUUUGUCAAACUCCUAACCCUCAGUACCUCAGAAUGUGACUGCUUCUGGAGACAAGGUCUUUAAAGAGGUAAUUAAAUUAAAAUAAGGUCAUUAGGGUGACCCUUAACCCAAUGUGACAGGUGACUUAAAAGAAGAAGAGAUUAAGACACAGACAGAUACAGAGGAAAGAUUACAUGAAGACUCAGGAAAAUGACGCCAUCUACAAGCGAAGGAGAGAGGCCUCAGGAUAAAUCAACCCUACAGACACCUUAAUCUCAGAUUUCUAGCCUCUAGACUUGUAAGAAAAUAAAUUUCUGUUGUUUAAGUG
rnacentral:lncRNA from 10 species